GAGUUUGGAGGGUGCCGGUCAGCGGAGCCGUGCGAUGUAUUUGAAAAGCAAUCAGUCCGACCUUCCCCCAUAGAUUCAUCCUGCCUGAAAAUCAUAUGCGUGGUUUUUCCUGUUUCCUGCUCUGUAGCUGACAUCAGGGGAGCAACGUGAACACAGGAAAAUGGAAAUCAACAUUUGAAACUUUUAAAUGGAAGCUUUAUUGGGGUUCCACAUAUGGAAAACUGCAAAUAGCAGAAGUAUGUGACUCAAUAAAUUAUUCUGGAGUGACCACAUCCUCUAACUGCCUCCCAGGACAAGACGGAGAAUGUGAACAAUGCUCCUGAAGGCCCCUUUCCCUCAAAGGUAACCACUGGCCUGACUUCUGACACCAUACAUUUGUUUUGCUUUUUUGAACUUCAUGUAAAUGGAAUCAUAUGAAUCACUGCAAUUGAAGGAAAAAUGCUCCAUGUCCCCUCUGCCAGUUGGUGUUUAUCAAAGGACAACGGAGGAAGAGAGACAAAGUGCCUGGAUGUGUGUGUUAAUCAAGAGUUGUCAGGACCCUGCCUCUAAAAGAAAGCGCUAAAAUGAUGCUUUUGACAAGACUUUUCUCAAAGUGGAUGCAGUCUAAGGGUUGGAAAACAAGGCCCAAUCAGGCUAGGUCUGACUUGUCGCCUGCUUUUGUAAAUAAAGUUUUAUUGG
rnacentral:lncRNA from 10 species